rnacentral:lncRNA from 1 species
GCUGAUUCGGUUGCCAUAGUUUCAGAGUCUGUAGAUUCUCUCUUUUAGUCGUUGAUCAACUCUGUGGCUCCUUUCUUUUCAGAAUUUAUUACAGAGGAUUUUGUUACAGUGUAUAUAAGUCUACCAUAUCAAAAAUAACAACAGUAGAUAUUAUUCUUCGGUUCAUAUUCUAGUCUUUUCGGGUAUCUCUUUGCUGUGCAACAGCGGGAUGAUUUUGUUUUGGUAUCUACUCUUACAAUCUUAAAAUUGAUGUUAAUUUUCUAAUUUUUUAUUUUGUUUCGUGAUGAAAUUAGGAAAGGAGCAAAAAUGGCGAUGAGAGAAGCGAAACUCGCUUACCUUGUGUUGCUGUUUAUGAGAUUAGCGAUGGUUUGAUAAAACCCCAUCCAGAAGAUCUAUCCGAGUGUCCAUCAAGAAUCCCAAGUAUCUCUAAUAACUGCCACUACCAGUAAAAGAAGCGGUCAACAAAACAUCCUCAGUGAAUCCCACGAUUCCACUAUCUGUUCUUCCACCAACCCCAGUAUCUUUUCGCUUUUAUCUAUUUGAAUUUCUAAUAAUUAUAUAGAAGCAUAAGAGUAGGAAAUGCAGUUGUAAUAUUUCUCUAUUUAAGCACUUCAAAAUCAUGAAUAAAGAUAUAGAUAUUUACAGAAUUCUUACUGGUCUUUUCUCACCAAAAGAGAGAGCUUUUUAUUGUAAUUUUGUGCAUCUGACUGGGACCAACCAUUUGGUAUCAGAGCACGGUUGUUAUGGCU